AAAACGGAAUUAAGUUGUAAACAAGUUUUCUAUGCUGUAACAAUGAAAAUAUUCCAUUUAUAAAUAACGGGGGAGUCACGAUACACUCCGCUCACGAGACGAGGCGAUGCACGAUAUUGGGUUCACGAGGACGAGGCAAUACUUUAACAUUACUUUUAAGAAAACUACGACAAAAUAUAGGAGUGAACAAAGUUUUUUUUUUAUAUUUAACUGAGUCCAUUUUUAAAUGUUUUCUAACUUUGCAUGAAUGACCUAAGCAUGAUGCUUUUAACUGUUGAACAUUUUUCCACAAAUUGAAACAAAAACUAAAAAUGACAAGUUAAAAUCAUGAUAUCAGUUGUAGCUACCACUGCUAAUCAUUUAUGUUGAUGUGUAGUUACGAAAGACGCUAAAAGAAAAACUACAGUUCCCAUUGUGCUUGGAGUACCUAACCAGGAAGCAGUGAAGAAGUCCGAAGUAGCCGAAAUAGACGCUAGGAUCACAGGUUUCGGUGGAAAUCACGUUCAGCUAUCGUGUUUUGAGCCUCAUUUGACUUAACAUUUGAUCAAAUUGAAGUCCGUUUGAUGAAGUGUAGAAUGGGACAUGACACCAACACAGCUGUUGAACUCCGAUGGGGGGAAAAAAAGCACCGCCGAGUGUCGCUGGGAACACCGAGGUCUCCUUGGGGGCUGUAGAGUUAGUAAUCAAGUGAAGCUCGGAUGUGAAAAAGCCAAGAAGACAUGAACCCUGGAGAGACAUAUUUUAUUUCAUGUGUCAUAUACUUCAGGAAACAAUAGACAAAGCAACGAUGUGGUCACCUUUUACUGAAUGAAUGUGUGACGGAGACGCCAGCAUGGUGGAAAAACAUUUUGCAGCGUUUGGGAUCCUGCCAUUCAACAGUGAAGGACAAACAAUAAGUAGGAUGGGACAUGCUUAUGGUGAAGAUCUUGUCUUUGUGUGUGUGCGUGCAUUUUGCGUGACAGGAAAGGUAAAAGAAGCCAACAGGAGAGGGACGUGUAGGUGAAUGAGACUUUCAACAAGGCACUAGCAUCAUAUCAAAGCAAACCCAACACUCCAAUAAAAUAAUCCGGGUUCUCUUUAUCUUAACAUGUUUAUUAUCAUACAUAAAAUUCACAUUUGACCUUGCCUGGUUGCGUCUUGCCCCCUUCCUACCUACACUGAGUGCAAAUCAAACUGCGUGGAUCACUACAACUCUUCAUAAAUAAAACCUUUGAAUUGAGUCCACUGGAACUGUACAAUGGAAUGGGCUUGCAGCUUGCAGAGAACAUGUUUCGAAUGGGAACCUCCAGGAUGUGCACGUGGGAAUGAUUCAAAGCAACACGCCGUCCCAUCUAUGAGAUUUUGUCUUAGGAAACCACACCAACACACCAGGCACUAUUUUGUCAGGGCCAUGAAAAGCUGCGAACAGACCACCGAACCACUAGGGGGUGGUUUCGUGCAUGUUAGCGCUUCACCCCAAGAGGGCAGAGGAGGGAAGAGAAUCAUGGCUUCGCCGAUAUUCGAGGAGGAAAGACUCAUGUUCCAAACGUGUGUUUAUGUACUUGCAUGCUCACAGCUUCAAUGAUCCAUGAGUUACCGUGACGGGAAAAGGCUAGCUAACGAACGUAGCCGCCUAGGUGCUGAUUAGUUGGGAUGUCCAAAGCUCUGAUAGGCAUGGCUUUCCAUGGCUUCCAUCUACAAAACAUAUUUACAACAUAGAUAACAUCUACAAAAAAUCUACACUUAUUUUUCUCUCAUGAGGUUUUUUUUUUGUUUUUUUUUGUUUUUUUAACAAAAUCUCCCCCCCCCACAUCCUCCUCUCCAAACAACUCUUCCUUUCCUCCCCUCUUGGUUCUCCCCCCCCCCUCGUCAAAGCGGCCCAUGUUAAGACAGGGCAACCGCUUUCCCUCUGGCCUCCAGCUAUGUGCAAUGGAUCUCACCCCACCCAACCCCUGUCAUUCCAGCUUCUACUUGCAACGAGAAGUUCUCAGACCAUGAAGGAAUUCUGGUUCUUCAACUUUUCAAGUUCUUUGAUUUGUUGUCUGAGGAAGAGUAUCCUGUGGGAGGAGUGCAGAGUGAGACAUGAGUCGUGUUUUCCACUACGACAGAUGCUUGUUCAUAAAGCAUACUUGCCUCUGCUCUCGCAAUGUGGCUUGGAUUUCAGACACUCGGACCAAGGAACGCAGGUUUUUCAGCUCGGUGCAGUUCUCAGACAUACAAAUACUUCCCAUCGUGUGAGCCUCUUCACGUAAUCUUGAUGCCUGGACACAAAAUGCUCCUUAUUAAGACUACAAGAUCAGGAUUCCAAUAACUUCUUUUAGUGCAUAUACUUAUACUAUUAGUGCAUAUAUUUAUACUUGAGCAGUUGGUCCAAACCUGUUUCUCUGCAUGCUCAGCAGGCCAACCUUGGACAUGUUUAAUAAGAUUCUCAUUGAAGUGGGCAGCAAGUGCGGGGGUGAAGGAGCAAGACGGUCGGGUCGCCACGGAAGUAGGUGGAGCAGACGCUGAAGUAGGGGCGUUGCUGGUGCCGCUGCCAGGUGGGACAUGGUUGGAUCCCGGGGAAGGACUCCUCUGACUGCUGCUGCUAACACAAAGUCCGAGUCAGUGUCCGCCAUGCAGCUGCUACAAUCAUGACAUGAGGACACACGUGCUUCUUCACACGGCAUCGCUUAGGAUGCCGUCAUUGCUAACAGGCAUGUGGAGGUGUGCUUACCCCUGGCGCUGAAGUGUGCGUGGAGAAGCGGUGCUAGCAUCGUGACUGUGUUGCUUGUCGCUGGGGAGGGGCUGCUGGGAUGUCUGCUGGGGAUGAGAUGUCUGCUUGAUGGCUGGUGUACUGGCCUACAAACAAGUACCAAAUGCAACAUGAUGACUUUUACGUAAGUGGCCAUUUAACAUCCUUGGGGUCUUGGAAUGGUUUCCAAGAUCUAUUUCUGAUCCAAAUUUAAAGCAGAGAGUCAUGGAAAAAAUGAUCAGACCACCCUUGUUUCUUCAGUUUAUUGAUCCAUUUGAAUGCCUGCUACAACUAAAGGUACAUCUGUUUGGACAAAUAGAAUGAUAACGUUUUCCUCUCACAUUCCAAAAACAUGCACGUUAGGUCAAUUAGCCACAGGUAUGAAUGUGGGAGUGAAUGGUUGUUUAUGUUCCCUGCCAUUGGCUGGCGACCAGUCCGGGGUGUACCCCACCCCUCGCCCGAGGUCAGCUGGGAUGGGCUCCAGCAUACCCACAACCCUAGUGAGGAUAAGCAGCAUAGAUGAUGGAUGGAUGAUAACAAAUAUAGCUCAUAAGAGUUGAAUUAAGAGCUGAUAUCUAGCAACCUCCAUGGUUUUCUUGAUGAUAACCAAAAUCACUGAAGUUCUCAGAUGAAUAGCUGUAGCAUUGUACUGCCAAAACAUGGAACUCUUACGAGCUAUUUUUGUUGUCAUUGUUGUAUUUGCCCAAACAAAGGUAACUUUAGUUGUACCAGGCAUUCAAGUGAACAAGAAGCUUCAGAAACAAGGGUGGUCAAAUCAUUUUAUCCAUGACUGUAUCUUCUUCUCCAAGCAUCUACCUUUGACAGUGAGAUGACGGGCUGUGUGCCGAGUAGGGGUUUGAGGGGACCAGCGUUGGUUUGUGGGGUGCUGAUGCGUGGAGAAACGUAGGACCUGGGUGAUGAGGCGUCUGACGUUAACGACAUCGGCGACUGGUUCGACUGCUGAGCUGCUGACAAAAAAAAUAAGAUCAUAUUAACCAAGAGGGACAAUCACCAAAACCUUCUCAAAAGCUGCUUGGACUGACCUUGGCUGGAGAGUUGAGCAGCUUGGGAGAGAAUUGUAGUAAUAUUGAAAGCUGAUGGUCCAGCAGUGAGGAUUUUAUGAAGCAUGGACUGUAACGAAGCUUGUGUGACAGCAGCUGUCAGAACUACAAAGGGGAGCACGUGAGUUACCUCAUAGAAAAACAUGCAAUGUACAAUAAUGUAUAAAGAUUGGCAGCAUACCUUCAUUGAUUUUCGCCAUGUCCACGCUGGCGUUAUUGAGCUGCAGGGCUGUCUGAAGUGCUGGAAGAAGCUGACGUAACAAGGUGGGGUCCUGCAGAAGCGGAGGGGCUGGGGACUGCAGGACCGGCGAGACGGGGACUGUGGAUGCUGAUGAUCCGGGGGGGGCCGAUGCGGGGUUCACGCUUGCUGAGCCAGAAGAUGAAGAUUGGGUGGCGUGAGUCGCUGCGGGCUUCUCCACCUGUGCUGACUCUGAAGACAACAGAAAGGUUAGAACUUUAAGCUGUUCACCCCGUUUAGAUACGAUACAUACAGUGAAAUUUCAUGAGGAACAAGACCACAUGACAAUGUACUGCAAUCUACUAAUAGAAUUUCUUGCUUUCUACAUUACACUCUUCUGCACUGUGUGUGUAUGCUAGCGGCCCGCCUCCACCCCACACCUAGUUUGCGACGCAUCUCCUUUGCCGUCAGUAUAUAAGAGAUUCAGUGCUAAAUAACAAAAACAUCUGAGAUUGAAAACCUGGAAGUCCUUACUUGAUGCUGAAAAGCCAGGGGGUGCUGAUGCCUGCAUGGCCUCCCUUCUGUAGUCUCUGUCCUUGGGGAAACUGUUGACAACUGCCGUCUGUUUUGUUGCGUCUUUUUGCCGCUGUUCUCUGCAAAAUAAGAGCGCAUGCGUCCAUGAAGUUGAGCCUGUGUUUGAAGAUUAAAAAUAUGAGAGUCAAGUGUACACUGCUACCUUUCCAGCCAUUCUUUGGGCUUCUCCCACUGGGACACCUCUGUUCGGCAGUUGUAAUAAUAUUUCUUCCCGGACGAGCUGAUGUGCUCCGACCAGUCAUCACCUGGUUCAUGAGGCUGAGAGAAAUAGAAAGAGAAUAAAAAGGCACAGGAUGCGUGUAUAUUUUUCUUCAGGGUCUGAUGCAAGAGGAUGCAAUGUCAUUUGGUAUUGCUGGGUGCUUUGCACACAUGCUUUUUGAACAGAAUCGCCAAAAAGAUGGAGCUAAUAUUGAGUAAUAAAAGCUGUGCACCCGUCUCACAAAUGACAAUAACGAUUAUUCACAGAAAGCGUAGGUUACAGUCAUUCCAAGCAUCAACAAGUCCACACAAGGAUGGCAGUAGGACAUCAAUACGCUCGGCAGAAGACAGACAAACAAUUCAAGCUGUACUUGGUUGACAACACUUACUGUGUCUGAGGUUUUGUUGGGAUUAGGAUGUGAGUUGGAGCUAUGCAGGGUGCUGUGGUUGUGAGAGUUUUCAUGUGGGGAAUUACUGGUCCCUGCAACACAAGACGGAAGAGACGUUGUUCAUCGCAAGCAACAAUUACGGGUCCAAAGUCUGUUUAAGAACAUUUCCUCCACUUAGCAAGCAUUUAUACCUUUCAGAGCAGGCUGUCUCAUCGUUGACACGGGUGUGUGUGCAGCUUUUCAUUGACAACUUUUAAAUAAUAAAAAUAAUAAACCAAGCUGGAUUGUGUAUUGUAUGUAUUCUCCUGUCACAUCCUAUCCACUUUGGACAAAGUUUGCCAUGCAUGAACGAUCAGAGGCUGCAACGGCAAACACAGCUCAGUGUGAUAAGACACAGACUGCAUUUGGCAGCUAUUGAAAUGCAAGAAGGAAAAUCCUACAGACAUCUUCACAUGCUUCCAAGUGAAAACAACAGGUCCUCCCCCUCCUGUAUUGUAGUCGACCUGCAGUGAGCAACUAUCCAUCCAUCCAAUUUCUAUACCGCUUCUCCUCUUUAGGG